rnacentral:rRNA from 1 species
GAUGAACGCUGGCGGCGUGCCUAAUACAUGCAAGUCGAGCGAAUGACGAGGAGCUUGCUCCUCUGAUUUAGCGGCGGACGGGUGAGUAACACGUGGGUAACCUGCCUGUAAGACGGGGAUAACUCCGGGAAACCGGAGCUAAUACCGGAUGAUAACGAGAAGCGCCUGCUUCUUUUUUGAAAGUCGGUUUCGGCUGACGCUUACAGAUGGGCCCGCGGCGCGUUAGCUAGCUGGUGAGGUAACGGCUCACCAAGGCGACGAUGCGUAGCCGACCUGAGAGGGUGAUCGGCCACACUGGGACUGAGACACGGCCCAGACUCCUACGGGAGGCAGCAGUAGGGAAUCUUCGGCAAUGGACGAAAGUCUGACCGAGCAACGCCGCGUGAGCGAUGAAGGCCUUCGGGUCGUAAAGCUCUGUUGUCAGAGAAGAACAAGUACCGGAGUAACUGCCGGUACCUUGACGGUACUUGACCAGAAAGCCACGGCUAACUACGUGCCAGCCGCCGCGGUAA